GACGAACGCUGGCGGCGUGCUUAACACAUGCAAGUCGAGCGGUAAGGCCCCUUCGGGAGUACACGAGCGGCGAACGGGUGAGUAACACGUGAGCAAUCUGCCCUUCACAUCGGGAUAACCCCCGGAAACGGGAGCUAAUACCGGAUACGACCACUUCAGGCAUCUUCUGGUGGUGGAAAGUUCUGGCGGUGAAGGAUGAGCUCGCGGCCUAUCGGCUUGUUGGUGGGGUAAUGGCCCACCAAGGCUUCGACGGGUAGCCGGCCUGAGAGGGUGACCGGCCACACUGGGACUGAGACACGGCCCAGACUCCUACGGGAGGCAGCAGUGGGGAAUAUUGGACAAUGGGCGAAAGCCUGAUCCAGCAAUGCCGCGUGGGUGAAGAAGGUUUUCGGAUUGUAAAGCCCUUUCGGCGGCGACGAUGAUGUCGGUACCCGCAGAAUAAACCACGGCUAGCUUCGUGCCGUCAGCCGCGGUAAUACGAAAGGGGCUAGCGUUGCUCGGAAUGACUUGGCGUAGAGGGCGCGUAUGCGGCUCAUACAGUCACAUGUGAAAUUCCUGCCCGUAACCUGGGGGCUGCAUUUGAUACGAGUGGGCUUGAGUGGGGAAGAGGGUCGUGAAAUUCCCAUUGUAGAGGUGAAAUUCAUAUAUAUUGAUAAGAACACGAGUGGCGAAGGCGGCGACCUGUCUCUUGACUGACGCUGACGCUCAAAAGCGAGGGGAGCAAACACGAUUAGAUACCCUGGCAGUGCAUGUCGUAAACGUAGGGCACUAGGUGUGGG
rnacentral:rRNA from 1 species